UUGCUCCAUUUGUAACCAGACA
rnacentral:miRNA from 1 species